rnacentral:lncRNA from 1 species
CCAACUCUAAUUCUACGCACCAACAGAGCAUACUUCUCCCAAGCAACAUGAUCAUUCUUUAAACCUUGAACCUUCACCCACAAAUGACUCCUUACCACUCUCCCCUAAUCCUAUUGAUACGUCCUAACUUUCAGCCUCCAUCAUCACAACGGACCUAUCAUAUGGUCACACGAUCACAAAACAAUAUUUAUAAACCAAAACAAGUCUUUGCCACCAUCACACAUCCAUUACCUCCUUUUCUUGAACCCACAACUAUCUCUCAGGCUAUGAAGGAUCCG